rnacentral:tRNA from 1 species
GCUCUCAUAGCUCAGUCGGUAGAGCGCAUGGCUUUUAACCAUGUGGUCGUGGGUUCGAGCCCCACUGAGAGUG